rnacentral:tRNA from 1 species
GCUUUCGUAGUGUAAUGGUUUGCACACUCGACGUUUAUUCGAGAAAUCCGGGGUUCGACUCCCGGUGAGGGUA